rnacentral:rRNA from 1 species
AACGUAGGUUCCGAGCGUUAUCCGGAUUUACUGGGCGUAAAGCGCGUUCAGGCGGUUUGGCAAGUCGGGCAUGAAAUCUCUCGGCUCAACCGGGAGAGGUUGCCCGAUACUUCCAGACUUGAGGGCAGUAGAGGGUGGUGGAAUUCCGGGUGUAGUGGUGAAAUGCGUAGAUAUCCGGAGGAACACCAGUGGCGAAAGCGGCCACCUGGACUGCACCUGACGCUGACACGCGAAAGCUAGGGGAGCGAACGGG